CACCGCGGUUAUACGAGAGGCCCAAGUUGACAGCUACCGGCGUAAAGCGUGGUUAAGGCUUAACAAUAACUAAAGUCGAACUCCUUCAAGGCCGUUGAACGUGUUCGAAACGGAGAAGCCCAAUUACGAAAGUAACUUUACAGACCUGACCCCACGAAAGCUAUGGCA
rnacentral:rRNA from 1 species